AUUGAACGCUGGCGGCAGGCCUAACACAUGCAAGUCGAGCGGAGCGGCGGACGGGUGAGUAAUGACUAGGAAUCUGCCUGGUAGUGGGGGAUAACGUCCGGAAACGGGCGCUAAUACCGCAUACUAUCAGAUGAGCCUAGGUCGGAUUAGCUAUGUGGUGGGGUAAAGGCCUAACAUGGCGACGAUCCGUAACUGGUCUGAGAGGAUGAUCAGUCACACUGGAACUGAGACACGGUCCCGACGCUUACGGUAGGCAGCAGUGGGGAAUUUUUGGCAAUGUGCGAAAGGCUGAUCCAGCCAUGCCGCGUGGGUGAAGAAGGUCGUCGGAUUGUAAAGCACUUGAAGUUGGGAGGCGUUACCAACAGAAUAAGCACCGGCUAACUUCGUGCCAGCAGCCGCGGUAAUUC
rnacentral:rRNA from 1 species